rnacentral:tRNA from 1 species
CGGGGCGUAGCGCAGCCUGGUUAGCGCACUAGACUGGGGGUCUAGGGGUCGCUGGUUCGAAUCCAGUCGCCCCGA